AGGAUUAACGCUGGCGGCGUGCCUAACACAUGCAAGUCGAACGAGGUAGCAAUACCUAGUGGCAGACGGGUGAGUAACGCGUGGUCAACCUACCGUUGAGUGGGGGAUAACUAGCCGAAAGGUUAGCUAAUACCGCAUACGAGUUUUGGGGGCAUCCCCGACUCUUAAAAGGAGCAAUCCGCUCGAUGACGGGACCGCGUCCCAUUAGCUAGAUGGUGGGUAACGGCCUACCAUGGCUCCGAUGGGUAGCUGGUUUGAGAGAGCGACCAGCCACACUGGGACUGAGAAACGGCCCAGACUCCUACGGGAGGCAGCAGUGAGGAAUUUUCCGCAAUGGGCGAAAGCCUGACGGAGCGACGCCGCGUGUGGGAAGAAGGCCUCGGGUCGUAAACCACUGUCGAAGGGACGAUAAUGACGGUACCUUGGAGGAAGCCCGGCUAACUACGUGCCAGCAGCCGC
rnacentral:rRNA from 1 species